UACGAAGGGGGCUAGCGUUGCUCGGAAUUACUGGGCGUAAAGGGCGCGUAGGCGGAUAUCUAAGUUGGGGGUGAAAUCCCGGGGCUCAACCUCGGAAUUGCCUUCAAAACUGGAUAUCUUGAGUUCGGGAGAGGUGAGUGGAACUCCGAGUGUAGAGGUGAAAUUCGUAGAUAUUCGGAAGAACACCAGUGGCGAAGGCGACUCACUGGCCCAUUACUGACGCUGAGGCACGAAAGCGUGGGGAGCAAACAGG
rnacentral:rRNA from 1 species